rnacentral:rRNA from 1 species
UACGUAGGGAGCAAGCGUUGUCCGGAUUUAUUGGGCGUAAAGAGCUCGUAGGUGGUUCGGUAAGUCAGGUGUGAAACCUCCAGGCUCAACCUGGAGACGCCACUUGAUACUGCUGUGACUGGAGUCCGGUAGGGGAGCGUGGAAUUCCUGGUGUAGCGGUGAAAUGCGCAGAUAUCAGGAGGAACACCAGCGGCGAAGGCGGCGCUCUGGGCCGGUACUGACACUGAGGAGCGAAAGCGUGGGUAGCGAACAGG